UUCCAGACUCCUACGGGAGGCAGCAGUGGGGAAUAUUGCACAAUGGGGGAAACCCUGAUGCAGCGACGCCGCGUGGAGGAAGAAGGUCUUCGGAUUGUAAACUCCUGUCCUUGGGGACGAUAAUGACGGUACCCAAGGAGGAAGCCCCGGCUAACUACGUGCCAGCAGCCGCGGUAAUACGUAGGGGGCAAGCGUUAUCCGGAUUCACUGGGUGUAAAGGGAGCGUAGACGGCGACGCAAGUCUGGAGUGAAAGCCCGGGGCCCAACCCCGGGACUGCUCUGGAAACUGCGGCGCUGGAGUACGGGAGGGGCAGGCGGAAUUCCUGGUGUAGCGGUGAAAUGCGUAGAUAUCAGGAGGAACACCGGCGGCGAAGGCGGCCUGCUGGACCGUGACUGACGUUGAGGCUCGAGAGCGUGGGGAGCAAACAGGAUUAGAUACCCCGGUA
rnacentral:rRNA from 1 species